AGCAAUUUGGCGCAGUGGAAGCGCGCCGGGCUCAUAACCCGGAGGCCGCACGAUCGAAACGUGCAAUUGCUA